AUACGUAGGUGGCAAGCGUUGUCCGGAAUUAUUGGGCGUAAAGCGCGCGCAGGUGGUUCCUUAAGUCUGAUGUGAAAGCCCCCGGCUCAACCGGGGAGGGUCAUUGGAAACUGGGGAACUUGAGUGCAGAAGAGGAUAGUGGAAUUCCAAGUGUAGCGGUGAAAUGCGUAUAGAUUUGGAGGAACACCAGUGGCGAAGGCGACUGUCUGGUCUGUAACUGACACUGAGGCGCGAAAGCGUGGGGAGCAAACAGGAUUAGAUACCCUGGUAGUCCACGCCGUAAACGAUGAGUGCUAAGUGUUGGGGGGUUUCCGCCCCUCAGUGCUGCAGCUAACGCAUUAAGCACUCCGCCUGGGGAGUACGGUCGCAAGACUGAAACUCAAAUGAAUUGACGGGG
rnacentral:rRNA from 1 species